GGCAUGGUGGCUCAGUGGUUAGAGCGCCCGCCUGAUGAACGGGAGGUCGUGGGUUCGAACCCCGGCCGAGUCA
rfam:Strongylocentrotus purpuratus Contig109603_fixed, whole genome shotgun sequence.